GACGAACGCUGGCGGCGUGCUUAACACAUGCAAGUCGAACGGAAAGGCCCUGCUUUUGUGGGGUGCUCGAGUGGCGAACGGGUGAGUAACACGUGAGUAACCUGCCCUUGACUUUGGGAUAACUUCAGGAAACUGGGGCUAAUACCGGAUAGGAGCUCCUGCUGCAUGGUGGGGGUUGGAAAGUUUCGGCGGUUGGGGAUGGACUCGCGGCUUAUCAGCUUGUUGGUGGGGUAGUGGCUUACCAAGGCUUUGACGGGUAGCCGGCCUGAGAGGGUGACCGGCCACAUUGGGGCUGAGAUACGGCCCAGACUCCUACGGGAGGCAGCAGUGGGGAAUAUUGCACAAUGGGCGGAAGCCUGAUGCAGCAACGCCGCGUGCGGGAUAACGGCCUUCGGGUUGUAAACCGCUUUCGCCUGUGACGAAGCGUGAGUGACGGUAAUGGGUAAAGAAGCACCGGCUAACUACGUG
rnacentral:rRNA from 1 species